UAUUUUGACAUGCAAGAGGAGCAGGCAUUCCAGGUAUUUGAAUACUGAGAGAUUCAAAUUAUCAGCAAGGUUCUUUCCAGUUCCACGUUUGUUGUGUUAUCAGUGUAAAAUUAUUUGAAUAGCUUUCCACUGAUGAGUUAUUAGCUGAAAAGUGUUUAUUGUCAUGGUUGAAAGAAAAUAAUAAUGAAAGAAGAAACGAUUACCUUUAGUGAUAAAGUUGGGGCCGGAUGGGACGAAGCAGUGCAAUUUUUUUCUUUAUAAUUAUUCCCCUAUUUGAAAAAUCAACUUGUAUAUGAGGCAGCAAACACCUUGCAGAGCAGCAUUCCCUUUUAGUUUCAGGACGUGGUGGUGGAUGGAACCACUGUAACCUGGCCUCCCUCCAUGAGAGGAGGGAAUCCAGGUGGCCAUGUUGAAAUGUGCCUGUGUGCAGCAAGGCUUCUGAAAUGACAAGAGAGCCCAGCAGCUUCCAAAGCAGCUGUGACUCUGGAUCUCACCCAUCAUCUCUGCUUCUCACUGUUAGAGGAGUGAAUCUGUGCUGCCUUAGGAGGCAUGGAACCUGGGACUUUUCUUCCUUGUUUAAUGUUUAAUUUUAUUAAAAUAAUUUGUAAGUGAUAGAUGUUGAUCUCGUGACAAAAGAGAGAUUCCCUCUUUAUAAAACUAUUCUAACUAAAGAUCUUUUGUAAGCCCAUGUGUUAGAAAUAAAACUUGAAUAUCCCCUUUUUUGUUGUUGUUUAUGAAUGGCCAAUAAUUUAUUCACAUGUGACAUUUGAGCUGGCAUUUUUUCCUCCUGAGAUGACAGUAGCGUCCGCUGUGUUGUAUUCUAAAGCAAAGUCAGAAUAGCCCUUUGCUUUUGUCCCGAUUAGUAGUUCUGUUUUGCCUUCUUGCCUUUUCCAUUUAGACCUUAUGGUAUUUCCUAAACCUUAGACUGUUUUGAAAGGCUUUGAUUAAAAUAUGCUGAUAAAAGAAUUCGAUAACCAAGUUAGGAACGACAAGGCUAUCUGGAGAAGACCAAAUGACUUGGCAGCCUAACAAAUUCUAUUCAGAGCACACAAAGAGAUCCUGGAACGUUUUAUAGGGACUCGUGUGUGGGGAAUGGUAUGAACUCAGGUUACCUGCAAAAUAUGGUGUCAUAUGGAAACAUUUAAGAGCUUAUGGAAAAUUCUUUGAAAUAAAGUGGAAUGAGCUAGCAAGCAUAUUAUACCUAAGAAGAAAAACAAGAGCAUUCAUUCUGGUUUUUUAAGGUAGCUGCUCAAGGAAGGGAGAUAGAUGAAAGUAAAUUGUUUUCUACUUUGUACACAUAAUAUAGAAGAGAUCACCUAAGCCUAGUUUUGCUAACCAGACCCUAGACUUAAAAUUAGAGGUCAUGAUGUCUAGCCACCUUCCUCUGUAGGAACCUCUCGUGAUACCCUGAAAGCCUCUGCUUAAAUACUUCCAGAGAAAAGUGAGGAAGGUAGGGGUGGGGAUGAAGGUUUGCAGGAACUCGUGUUGAGUACCUAGUAUCUGCAAGAUACUAGAGUAGGUACUUUAUCGCCAUCUCAUCUGACUUAUGUAUGAGUGCAGGUUUUAUAACCCUCAAGUUUACAAGUGAGGAAACUAAGUUUAUAUAAGUGUCACGAAACUUGCUUCAGUUCAGAUGUCUAGCUUGAGGCAAAUCUGAAAUUAGAACCUAGGUCCAUCUUCUUGCAUUACACUAAACUGCCUCUCAGGAUGAGGGAGAGCUCCCUUCAUGGCUAAGGCAACCUCUUCUGUCUAAUAAUGCAGAUUCUUUAAAAAUUCUUUCUUUUAUUUAACUGAAAUCUGCCUCCCAUUAACAUCUCUCAUUGGUCCUGAUUCGGCCUCAGGAGGAUCACAGAGCUGAUGCAAUUCUCUUUCCUUAUGCAGGUAUGUUUGCAACCACUGCUGCCAAAAUGGCCUCUGCCAUCUUUUACCUAGUUGGUUUUUUUUGAAAAUGAACACACACACACACACACACACACACACACACACACACUCACAGAAAUAUCCUCUUAUUGACUGCAAUCCAUCUUUCAACAUAUGGAGUUCUUUUUGAAUACUAGAGGUAUAGCCUUAAAGAAUAUGAGUAUCAGAAGAUACUUUAGUUUCAUCUUUCCCUGCCUGAUUCAUCAGCCAAUUGUUAGUAUGCCAUCAGUCAAGCCAUUAAUAAAAAUAAUGAACAAGGUGAACAGGAUAGGUUAACUUGUAGUCUAUGUAUAAGUUUCUGAAGUUGCAUGCAGAAUUUAGCCUAUAUGUGAAUUUUUCUGGAAAAAUGGUCAGUAACUAUUGUCAGAUUCCUUUUUUUUUUUUUUUUUUUUUUUUGAAGACAAAGUCACUGCACUCCAGCCUGGGUGACAGGGCAAGAUUCCAUAUUAAAAAAAAAAAAAGUAUUGAGAAGUACUCAGAGUAGAGAACUUACUCCCGAAUGAAUAUACUAACCUCUUUGAGGAGAGCUCCCCAAAUGACCAUAAAUUCAUAUAGCUCAGCCAUCACUAGACCGUGUAUUUCAGCCAGAAGAUAUGGUGAAUGGUCUUGUAAGAUGCCUGACUAAAUUAAAGUAUUAAAGUAUUUCUUGAAUUCUCUUGAUAUUCCUGGACUUUGAGAAAGAAUAAUUAUGCCCUUAAAAAUGGAAAAAGAGACUGCAAUAUUGUUAUACAGGCCUUUUAAAAAAAAAGUAUCCUUAAAUUUUUAGUUACAGAGUUCACUUUUUUCCCCUACUUUUCUUUGUUUUAGAUUAUAAGCCCAGGAUUGUUCACCAGAAGGUUACCCUUUAGUCUGCAGGAACCUUUGAAAACAGAUGUGGUAUUGAAGAAUAUCUCUGUAAGCCCAGAACUUAUCCAUUGUAUAAAGAAUUUUAUUUUCCCCAGUAGACCGGGAGCUCCUCAAGGGCAGGGACCUUUGCAAGUCUUUGACUCCCUAGCACUGAACCCAGCAUCUGGCAAAUCUUAUUUCAUGUGACUUUAUUUUGGCUGAAUGGCCUAAAAAUGCGCUUGUACUGAGCACCUAAUACAUUUAAUUUAAUUUUUAAAUUUUUAUUCAAUAAUGUAGACGUGGAGUCCCCCUAUGUUGCCCACGCUGGCUCAAACUCCUGGCCUCAAGGAUGUUCCUGCCUCAGUCUCCCAAAGUGCUGGGAUUACAGGCAUGAGCCACUGCACCAAGCCCUAAUACAUUUAAUAAAUUGUAAGGAGGAAGAACAGUGGACCGCAGUGAGAUAUGGUCUACAGGGAAAAUGAAGAACCUCUUCAAAAAUGAUGAUCUUCAGGCCUGUAAUCCCAGAACUUUGGGAGCCGAGGCGGGUGGAUCACUUGAGCCCAGGAGUUCAAGACCAGCCUAGGAAACAUAGCGAAACCACAUCUCUACCGAAAAAUACAAAAAUUAGCCAUGCUUGUAGUCCUAGCUAUUAAUACGUGGGAGGCUGAGGUGGGAAGAUGGUUUGAGUCCGGGAGGUGGAGGUUACAGUGAGCCACUGUACCCCAACCUGGGUGACAGAGUGAGACCCCAUCUCAAAACCAAAAAAGAUGACCUUUAUUAUGUUUGACAUUUAAAAAAAUGUAGCCAAAGUAAAAGUGUUGAUUAGCAUAACCCCGAUCACAUGUUGUUGUUGAAAAUGAGCACUGGCUUGCAUAAAAUGGACAUUCAUGGACAUGAAAUGGACAUUAAUGAUUUUACAUAUGUUAAGAAGAGAAUUUUAGACUUGAGACCUUAGGGAGAUCUGUUGAUAGAAUUCCCUAUGCUCUACAGAUAAGGAUACUUAGUGAAGGGACUUUCCUAAGCUCACAGACCCAGAAGAGUAGUACUCUUUCCAGCCAAUGGUGAUGCUUACUUAUGUUUUUUUUUUUUUUUUUUUUUUUUUGAGACGGAGUCUUGCUCUGUCGCCCAGGCUGGAGUGCAGUGACACGAUCUCGGCUCACUGCAAGCUCCGCCUCCCAGAUUCACGCCAUUCUCCUGCCUCAGCCUCCUGAGUAGCUGGGACUACAGACGCCCACCACCACGCCCGGCUAAUUUUUUGUAUUUUUAGUAGAGACGGGGUUUCACCGUGUUAGCCAGGAUGGUCUUGAUCUCCUGACCUCGUGAUCCGUUCGCCUCGGCCUCCCAGAGUGCUGGGAUUACAGGUGUGAGCCACCGCGCCCGGCCUACUUAUGUGUUUUAGAAAAAUCUUUAAAAUGUUAAAAGAUGACAGGUAAUUUCUAGACCAUAUGAAGUAGCCCAGUUGUCCCAGGAUUAGUUUAUUAUGUGUAUAUCAGCCAUUAUUUUACAGAGUCAUCUCACAUAAAUCCACACAACCUUAAAGGAUUAAAGGAUGGUUUCUGUGCAACUGAAACAUAUGCACAGAAUGACAAUAGUCGUGAUACUUUCUUUAUUCUUUUUUUUUUUUUUUUUGAGAUGGAGUCUCACUCUGUCGCCCUGGCUGGAGUGCAGUGGUGUGAUCUCGGCUCACUGCAGCCUCCAUCUCCCAGAUUCAAGCGAUUCUCAUGCCUCAGCCUCCCGAGUAGCUGGGAUUAUAGGUGCACGCCACCCGCCUGGGUAAUUUUUGUAUUUUUAGUAGAGAUGGGGUUUCAGCAUGUUGGCCAGGCUGAUCUUGGAACUCCUGACCUCAAGUGAUCCGCCCACCUCAGCCUCCCAAAGUGCUGAGAUUACAGGUGUGAGCCACCACGCCUGGCCAGUCAUGCUACUUUAUAAUCUGAAGUUACCAGUUCUUUGCAGUGUUUCACAUUAGGGGCAUUCUCCAAAGGGAACUUUAGAGAUAACAAAUAUGUUAAAAAUAUCGAAUAAAGUUAGAGAUGUGGGGAGACAUUCCUACUCCUACAGAGAGCAACCAUACCUUCCUAUAGACUGUGCACUGAAGAAAGGGCGGAGGGGAUGCGCCUGUUAGAGUUAGAAUCUUGGCUUGAUAGGCAAGGAAAUUGACCCGGUGUGGUGGUUCUUAUAUUGGUAAGAAGACCCUUCUUUGGUUUCUUUUUUUCCAGAUAGCUAAAGUCAAUGUCAGUGAUUGCUUCAAGCAUGAUAGUCUUACCAGCCUACACUCUAAGCUUUUCUUAUGCUUCCAGAAUGACUUACUCAGCAAUCACUUCUACUUUGUAUUAAAACAGUUUUGGUUAUUCAGGUAGGAAGAAGAGAAAAAAACCAGGCUGUUUCCAGUUGUCUGGGGUUUACAUUAUGUUACCUCUCAGACUGUUAGUGAAAUCAGGGAGACUAGUGGUUUUUACGGCAUCAGAGAUACCAAAUGUACAACAGACAGAUGUCAUCUUACUCUUUUUAAGUCAUGGACAAAAAGACAGACACAUUGCCCUGUAACUUUCAGAUCUUCUGUAACCUUUUUAAACAACAUAGGAGAGAAGUUGGUACUUGUACCCAAGGGAAGAGAAAGUUAAUGAGUAGAAAAGACAGAAUUUAUUUAGGAAAACGAUGGAAUUAAGCUCUGGACAAAACAUGCAUCAGUGAUGCAUAACAUUUUUGUUAAUUGGGUCUUAACAGGUUUCUGACUCAUAUGGUAAUCAUUGUAGAAGUGGGUCUUACUAGACCACGCCAGUGGCAAAUUGCGAAGCUGUAAGAACUCUUACCUCCCUGUGUGUGUGCACCUGAGUGUGUGGGGGGGCGUACGUUUCUGUAGCUUAAUUUAGGUUCCACAUACACUUCAGUGGUUAAACCUGAGCUAGACUCAAAUAGUUUGUUUCCAUUAAGAAAAUGAAUCUUUUAUGUGGACCAAGGUCAGGUUAGUUAAUUUGUUUGCUUUUAUUGGAAUAACUUUUCCCAUUCCAAUUCAUCACUUAAUUUUAAGUGGUUCUACUAAAAUACCCAUUAAAGUCCUUUACAUUUCUCACAGACUAGGGCUAUGACAGAUUCAUAAGACGUUUCUUUUUUCCUCAAGGCACAAAAGGUAGCUUUUCUGGUCAUCAAUCUAGUCUUCCUUGUUCCUAAUUUCACAACAGUGGGGCAACAUUUUAUAUAAUACCAAUAUGAACUCUAAUUGCAAAGAGACUAAAUGAAAUCUUCACACGAAGCAAGAUUAAUUAAAAUAUAAAAUGUGCUUGACUGUGGUAAAACAUUUCUUUUAAAAAAAAUAGUAUGACUUUUUUUUUUUUUUUUGCUAAAUCUUUCUUUUUUGUACACCUCACCCUCUUCUUCACUGAUGCAUUUUCCAGCAACUGGAAGUUCACUCUGGCUAGGAAAGUAACUAAAUGUGAUGUUAUCAUUCUAAUUAGUGAUUACAAAAGAUCAAUUAAUGUUAUAAUUAAAAACAGUGUCUAGAUCUGUUGUUUGUAGUGAAUAAAUGUGACAAUUACUUUGUUCAUUGACAUAGAUGUGUUGAAUUUCCUCCCUAGAUUUUAAGGGGAUGCAUUUUAGUGCUGAUGUGUGCAUUUAACUGUGGACAGUAGGAACAAGGCAAGCAUAUUAGGGGAAGAGUAGGGCCCCUAAUGUCUAAGCUACAGACAUAUUUUAGCAUGCUUGACACCUUUCCUUGGUAUAUGAUGCUAUAUCAGCAACUUGUACUCAUUGGAUCUGGAGCCUCUAGCUUUUAAUAUUUUAUCACUAAAUGCUUAAGUGUUUAUGUUGC
rnacentral:lncRNA from 1 species